rnacentral:rRNA from 1 species
UACGUAGGGGGGCUAGCGUUGUCCGGAAUCAUUGGGCGUAAAGCGCGCGUAGGCGGCCCGGUAAGUCCGCUGUAAAAGUCAAAGGCUCAACCUUUGAAUGUCAGUGGAUACUGCCGGGCUAGAGUCCGGAAGAGGCGAGUGGAACUCCUGGUGUAGCGGUGGAAUGCGCAGAUAUCAGGAAGAACACCGACGGCGAAGGCAGCUCGCUGGGACGGUACUGACGCUGAGGCGCGAAAGCGUGGGGGAGCGAACAGG